UACGUAGGGACCAAGCGUUGUUCGGAUUUACUGGGCGUAAAGGGCGCGUAGGCGGCAAUUCAAGUCAGCUGUGAAAUCUCCGAGCUUAACUCGGAACGGUCAGCUGAUACUGUUUUGCUAGAGUGCAGAAAGGGCAACCGGAAUUCUUGGUGUAGCGGUGAAAUGCGUAGAUAUCGAGAGGAACACCUGCGGCGAAGGCGGGUUGCUGGGCUGACACUGACGCUGAUGCGCGAAAGCCAGGGGAGCGAACGGG
rnacentral:rRNA from 1 species